GUGCUUAACACAUGCAAGUCGAACGAUGAACCACUUCGGUGGGGAUUAGUGGCGAACGGGUGAGUAACACGUGGGCAAUCUGCCCUUCACUCUGGGACAAGCCCUGGAAACGGGGUCUAAUACCGGAUAUGAGCCUGGGAGGCAUCUCCCGGGUUGUAAAGCUCCGGCGGUGAAGGAUGAGCCCGCGGCCUAUCAGCUUGUUGGUGAGGUAAUGGCUCACCAAGGCGACGACGGGUAGCCGGCCUGAGAGGGCGACCGGCCACACUGGGACUGAGACACGGCCCAGACUCCUACGGGAGGCAGCAGUGGGGAAUAUUGCACAAUGGGCGAAAGCCUGAUGCAGCGACGCCGCGUGAGGGAUGACGGCCUUCGGGUUGUAAACCUCUUUCAGCAGGGAAGAAGCGCAAGUGACGGUACCUGCAGAAGAAGCGCCGGCUAACUACGUGCCAGCAGCCGCGGUAAUACGUAGGGCGCAAGCGUUGUCCGGAAUUAUUGGGCGUAAAGAGCUCGUAGGCGGCUUGUCACGUCGAUUGUGAAAGCCCGAGGCUUAACCUCGGGUCUGCAGUCGAUACGGGCUAGCUAGAG
rnacentral:rRNA from 1 species